rnacentral:rRNA from 1 species
AAAACUCAAAUGAAUUGACGGGGGCCCGCACAAGCGGUGGAGCAUGUGGUUUAAUUCGAUGCAACGCGAAGAACCUUACCUGGUCUUGACAUCCACAGAACUUUCCAGAGAUGGAUUGGUGCCUUCGGGAACUGUGAGACAGGUGCUGCAUGGCUGUCGUCAGCUCGUGUUGUGAAAUGUUGGGUUAAGUCCCGCAACGAGCGCAACCCUUAUCCUUUGUUGCCAGCGGUUAGGCCGGGAACUCAAAGGAGACUGCCAGUGAUAAACUGGAGGAAGGUGGGGAUGACGUCAAGUCAUCAUGGCCCUUACGACCAGGGCUACACACGUGCUACAAU